rnacentral:lncRNA from 1 species
UUUCUCAAUAUUUCCUCUCCAUCUUUAUUCUAUAUCAUAUUUUUGCAACAUUCAGGUAUUUCAUAUUGUUUUAUUAGUAAUGAUAGUUAACUUUUUUCAAUCACUAUUAUUUCAACCAGUAUUACAGUAAUGAAUAAGGCAAUAACAACAAUUACUUAUCUUCAUCUUCUUCAUCUUCAACAAUAACCAUAAAGAAACUAUCCUCCACACAAGGACAUCCUGCUCAUUUUUUCCUGCAUAUUUUUGAAUUUGUUACACUAACUUACAUGCUAUGAACAUUGUAAACAGUAGAGCACAAAUUCAAUAACAAAAGGAGAAAGUAUAAAACACAUUCCAGAGAUCAGUCCAUAGUAUCAAGGUAUGUCAUACUUUUUCAUGUUAAAUUAUUAACGUUACAAAAGUUUAUUAACACAUUUUGUGAACGAAAUUUACAGAAGUGCAUAAAUUCAUCAACCAAAGGAGAAAGUAUAAAACACAUUCCAGAUAUCAGUCCAUAGUAUCAAGGUAUGUCAUACUUUUUUGUUAAAUUGUUAAGCUUACUCAAGUUAUUACACAAUAAAUAUGACUAAGUGAAUGAACACAUUUCUGAACGAAAUUAANUAACAAAUUAAACAAAAUAAAUAUGGCUAAGUGAAUCAACACAUGAACAAAAAAUAAAUAACAAAUCAUAUCACAAGGAAAAUCUGAUAGAUUUAUUUUAAAAUGAAAAUCUACUUAGAGAGGGAGGUAAAUAAAACGCAUAACCAUUAAUGCAUACAUAAAUUUUAGUAGAAAAAUAGGAAAAUGCAAUUAAGGUCAAAUAUUUGAUCCAUCAAUUCAAUAUUUUGUACUGAAACAAAAAAUUAAACCUUCUAAUACCAUAAUUUAAAACUUUUUGUAGUUUUCAUCUUAUAUUUAUCUUCAAUUUCGUGUGAACUUCAAUUAUCUGACAUACAUUAAAUUGAAAUCCUCAAAUUGGGGUAUUGUUGCUUUCUAUUAUUAAAGUUUUUAUAUAAUACAUACCAACACUCUAUAUCAAUGCAUUUAAUCAAUAAGAACAUAGAAAAGACAAAACAUAUUUUACUUUCAUAAACCUAUUGAAAAAUAAAAAAAAACACAGUUACAUAUAUAUGAUGAUGAUGUUUGACUAUGGAAGUGUUGAGGCCUAAGGGACAACAGAUGUUAGUUAAAAUUAUGUAUUUGUUAAUGACUUUUUAUAUUUGUUAACGACUCUCUUUAUAUUUGUUAAUGAUUCUUUCUAUGUAUGUCAGUAUUGCCAAGCAUAUGAACACAACAUAAACACGGUCAACUAACUCAAGACAUCAACAAAUUAUAUUGCAUUGUUAUUGUGCAAAUUCAUCAUCCUAGUAAGUCUAAGUCAUAUUUUAUCAUGUCAGAUUAUUUAUCACACAAAAAUAUCUUGGCUGAUUAUAAAAAGUACUUUUUCAUAUUACUAACUACUAAGUCCUAAGGGACAAAACAUGUUACUUAAAAUUACAUAUUUGGUAAUGACUCUCUAUUACACAACACUAUAAAAUGUGGAAUAAUAUAAAAUGAACACAUCAACAUAUUAGAUAACAAGAUACUGCACAGGACAAUCCAGCAUGGUAAAUAAUCAACUAAAUCUAAGAUUGUAAAGAUGAUGGCCACCCUAACAAUACAACAAUUUUUAAACUUCCUCAACAGACACAAUCAGGUUAUAAAUUAACAAACCCAUGAGAAUGAAUAAUUCCAUCACUUACGCUAAAUGUGGUAUAAAUAUCUUUGAAUCUCAUUCAAACAAUACAAAUCACUUUAAAAACUACAAAUUAUUAAACUAGGGUUGUACCCAUUGACCACAACAAACAAAACUGACCAAUAGAUGAAGCUAAUAACAGCGAUAUCUCAAAACAACGAAUUAAGGUUAAUUAAAGUAGAAUCUAAAAAUGUGAACUUUCAUUUCAUUUUCAAUCGAUUAAGGUUAAGAAUUGGAAGGUUAACUAAGAAUCUAAAAGGGUGUCAGGUUCAUAUCUCACCUUAAGCAGAUGCGAGCUUCUGAAUAAUCCGCAGCAAAGAG